GUGUAGUUUCAGCAGUUAAAGUCCCAACAACCCCGUCAUCACGCUACGAAGUUUCCAACUGUGGAAGAAAGGAGCAACAUGCUAACCUGACAAGCUCAGGGGAGGCCUGUGUGGCAAUCUUGCAAACUCAGAGACCUAAAAUAACCACAAAAAAAUGCUCUGAAAAUGAAAUAUUUAACUACAAACAGGUUACGUGAGCUCCUGCUGAUUGCUGCUUGGAAGCUCUUUGGGGCCUAGUGAGUGAAGCGUCUCCCAGUGUCUAC